CUGUGGAGUCCAGUACAAUGACACGGCCCAGUCACAUGGCUCUGGACUCUACUAAUAGGAUAACUGUCAGAACAGCCUAUUCAAACCACAUUGACUCAAGGAAGUCAGACUGAAAGCAGAGUUGCAAUGUUGUUUGAAUAGUUGUUCCACUGGCUAGGCCUAGUAUGAUAUCAGAGCUCCUUUGGAUGGUGUUUACACAGUACAUAUAUUUAACAGUGAACUCGCUUGAAGUGUCUCUUCUGAUCUGUGUAUUUUCCUAUUUAAUGCUUGGCCAAGCUGAACAUAUCAAAACCGUCACGAUGACCACAGAGAGGUCUUCCUGUUCUGCAAGAGAGCUCCAGCAGAGCACGAAGAUGGCCGAGCUCAAUCCCUGUUCAUGGAUUGGCUGAGGGGGGCACCUAGAGCGCCGGCUCAGAGACUCAGAGAACACACGGCUUCCCCCCCAGCGCAGACGGGGGAGCCCAGGAGCGUGGACGAGGUUCGGUACCAGAGGCCCUCCGGUCCACUCGGACCCCCAGCACACACCUGGAACGACCCGAUCCGACCCGCUGCAUCUGCGUCCGUCCCUCUAGCAGCGUCAGUACCAGCAGGUUUGUGUUAA
rnacentral:lncRNA from 1 species